CCUACGGGAGGCUGCAGUGAGGAAUAUUGGUCAAUGGGCGCGAGCCUGAACCAGCCAAGUAGCGUGAAGGAUGACUGCCCUACGGGUUGUAAACUUCUUUUAUAAAGGAAUAAAGUGAGGUACGUGUGCCUUUUUGUAUGUACUUUAUGAAUAAGGAUCGGCUAACUCCGUGCCAGCAGCCGCGGUAAUACGGAGGAUCCGAGCGUUAUCCGGAUUUAUUGGGUUUAAAGGGAGCGUAGAUGGGUUGUUAAGUCAGUUGUGAAAGUUUGGGGCUCAACCGUAAAAUUGCAAUUGAUACUGGCGGCCUUGAGUACAGGGAAGGUAGGCGGAAUUCGUGGUGUAGCGGUGAAAUGCUUAGAUAUCACGAAGAACUCCGAUUGCGAAGGCAGCUUACUAAACUGCCACUGACAUUGAUGCUCGAAAGUGUGGGUAUCAAACAGGAUUAGAUACCCUUGUAGUC
rnacentral:rRNA from 1 species